rfam:Phaseolus vulgaris cultivar G19833 chromosome 10, whole genome shotgun sequence.
AUAACCAAGUUGGAGCUCCCUUCACUCCAAAUCUGAAAGGAUAUGAUGGUAAAACUCUGCUGCUAGUUCAUGGAUACCUAUGGCUUCGUAACAACAUGUGUUUCGACGAAGUCAGGGGUUUGCAUGAACUGGGAGAUGAGUUUACUCUGAUCUUUUGGUAUUGGAGUGAAGGGAGCACCACUGGUUUGGUUU